AUUGAACGCUGGCGGCAGGCUUAACGCAUGCAAGUCGAGCGGAGAUGAGGUGCUUGCACCUUAUCUUAGCGGCGGACGGGUGAGUAACGCUUAGGAAUCUGCCUAUUAGCGGGGGACAACAUUCCGAAAGGAAUGCUAAUACCGCAUACGCCCUACGGGGGAAAGCAGGGGAUCUUCGGACCUUGCGCUAAUAGAUGAGCCUAAGUCGGAUUAGCUAGUUGGUGGGGUAAAGGCCUACCAAGGCGACGAUCUGUAGCGGGUCUGAGAGGAUGAUCCGCCACAAUGGGACGGGGACACGGCCCAGACUGCUACGGGAGGCAGCAGUGGGGAAUAUUGGACAAUGGGCGGAAGCCUGAUCCAGCCAUGCCGCGUGUGUGAAGAAGGCCUUUUGGUUGUAAAGCACUUUAAGCGAGGAGGAGGCUACCUGGAUUAAUACUCUAGGAUAGUGGACGUUACUCGCAGAAUAAGCACCGGCUAACUCUGUGCCAGCCGCCGCAGUAAGAC
rnacentral:rRNA from 1 species